rnacentral:rRNA from 1 species
GGCCUUGAGAGAGGAGCCAGAGUUGGAUUUUGAGACACGAAUCCAGCCCUACGGGGCGCAGCAUUCGCGAAAAUUUCACAAUGGGGCAACCCNGAUGAGGGAAUUCUUAGUGCUAGCAACAUUAGUGUUAGCUUUUCUUUAGCAUAGAUAACUAGAGGAAUAAGGGCUGGGUAAGACGGGUGCCAGCCGCCGCGGUAAUACCUGCAGCCCAAGUGGUGGUCGAUAUUAUUGAGUCUAAAACGUUCGUAGCCGGUUUAAUAAAUCCUUGGGUAAAUCGGGGGGCUUAACCUUCCGAAGUCCGAGGAGACUGUUAAACUUGGGACCGGGAGAGGCAAGAGGUACUUCUGGGGUAGGGGUAAAAUCCUGUAAUCCUAGAAGGACCACCGGUGGCGAAGGCGUCUUGCUAGAACGGAUCCGACGGUGAGGGACGAAGCCCUGGGGCGCAAACGGGAUUAGAUACCCCGGUAGUCCAGGGUGUAAACGCUGCAGACUUGGUGUUGGAGGCCCUUCGGGGGCAUUCAGUGCCGGAGAGAAGUUGUUAAGUCUGCUACUUGGGGAGUACGUCCGCAAGGAUGAAACUUAAAGGAAUUGGCGGGGGAG